rnacentral:rRNA from 1 species
GACGAACGCUAGCGAUAGGCCUAACACAUGCAAGUCGAGGGGCAUCACAUGAAGUAGCAAUACGGAUGGUGGCGACCGGCGCACGGGUGAGUAACACGUAUGCAACCUGCCUUCAACAAGGGGAUAACCCGUUGAAAGACGGACUAAUACCCUAUAACACAGGGGUCCCGCAUGGGAAUAUUUGUUAAAGGACAACCGGUUGAAGAUGGGCAUGCGUUCCAUUAGCUAGUUGGCGGGGUAAGGGCCCACCAAGGCAACGAUGGAUAGGGGAACUGAGAGGUUUAUCCCCCACACUGGUACUGAGACACGGACCAGACUCCUACGGGAGGCAGCAGUGAGGAAUAUUGGUCAAUGGACGCAAGUCUGAACCAGCCACGUCGCGUGAAGGAAGACGGCCCUACGGGUUGUAAACUUCUUUUGCAAGGGAAUAAAGUGGGCCACGUGUGGCCUUUUGCAAGUACCUUGCGAAUAAGGAUCGGCUAACUCCGUGCCAGCAGCCGCGGUAAGUACGCAGCG